rnacentral:rRNA from 1 species
AUUGAACGCUGGCGGCAGGCCUAACACAUGCAAGUCGAGCGGAGCGGCGGACGGGUGAGUAAUGCCUAGGAAUCUGCCUGGUAGUGGGGGAUACCGUCCGGAAACGGGCGAUAAUACCGCAUACUAUCAGAUGAGCCUAGGGCGGCUUUGCUAGUUGGUGGGGUAAAGGCCUACCAAGGCGACGAUCCGUAACUGGUCUGAGAGGAUGAUCAGUCACACUGGAACUGAGACACGGACCAGACUCCUACGGGAGGCAGCAGUGGGGAAUAUUGGGCAAUGGACGAAAGCCUGAUCCAGCAAUGCCGCGUGAGUGAAGAAGGUUUUCGGAUUGUAAAGCACUUUAGGUUGGGAGGCGUUACCAACAGAAAAAGCACCGGCUAACUACGUGCCAGCAGCCGCGGUAAUAC